GCAAACUUGGUCAUUUAGAGGAAGUAAAAGUCGUAACAAGGUUUCCGUAGGUGAACCUGCGGAAGGAUCAUUAUUGAAACAUUGUAAAGGAAAGUUGAGCUGGCCCUUCAAGGGCAAGUGCUCGCUUUUCUUUCAAUCUUCAUCCACCUGUGCACCUUUUGUAGAAAGUCUUGAGAAACAAAGGGGCCUUGUAACAGAGGUCCCUUCCAGUAUCAGGCUUUUCUAUGUUUUUACACACUCUGAAUGUAUGUCUUUGAAUGUCUUUUAUAAGGGACUUAACUGGCCCUUUUAAAAACUAUACAACUUUCAGCAACGGAUCUCUUGGCUCUCGCAUCGAUGAAGAACGCAGC
rnacentral:misc_RNA from 1 species